GGCAGACGGGUGAGUAAUGCAUAGGAAUCUACCUAGUAGUAUGGGAUAGCCACUAGAAAUGGUGGGUAAUACUGUAUAAUCCCUGCGGGGGAAAGAUUUAUCGCUAUUAGAUGAGCCUAUGUUAGAUUAGCUAGUUGGUAGGGUAAAGGCCUACCAAGGCAGUGAUCUAUAGCUGGUCUGAGAGGAUGAUCAGCCACACUGGAACUGAGAUACGGUCCAGACUCCUACGGGAGGCAGCAGUGGGGAAUAUUGGACAAUGGGCGCAAGCCUGAUCCAGCUAUGCCGCGUGAGUGAGGAAGGCCUUAGGGUUGUAAAACUCUUUCAGUAGGGAAGAUAAUGACGGUACCUACAGAAGAGGUCCCGGCAAACUCCGUGCCAGCAGCCGCGGU
rnacentral:rRNA from 1 species